AGCACUCUCACGGAAGGAUUUUAUCAUCACUAAGAAUUCUCGAGUGUGUGAGAAACAUUUUUCGUCGGAUGUCAUAGUUAAAGAAACUGUGAAAACUGACCCAAAGACUGGUGAAA